CGCCCGCGGUUCCGGUUGGCUUCGUCUCCGGCACGCUUCCACGAGAGGCUCUGGGAAGGGGAGGGGAAGGCACGUAACCUGCUGGUCUAGCGGCCACCCAUUCCUCAUUACCUUGGCCCUGGUCCCCCUCCCGGUCUCUCUCCAGAGCCAUUGGGUGGGGCCUGUCGAGGGCCGCCGCCUCGCCCACCUUCCAUAGUCAAGCCGGGAGUGGAUAAGUGCUCAUUCCCGGGGAGGCCCCGGGGACCGGACAAGCCAGGGGCAGAAGAGGGUUCUGCAGAAGCCGGGGUACCAGACCCACACUGGGCGCGCCCAAGUGAAGGCUUCCCUGAGGAGAGUGCCUUCAGUUGGACCUGGAGAGAGAUUUGGCCAUCCUCUGAGUCUUACAGAAGAUACAACUCAUAUUCCAUCUUUACUCUGCUAAAUCUAUGAAGCCCUUCAUGGUUACUCCAGCCCAAAGGAAUCACUCACCUAUGAGUUUUUUUCUCAUGAUUGUAAAUUCCUGAAGGACAAGGACAAUGUCUUGUUCUCAGUUGUUUUCCCACACCCUAAGAUAAAAAAAACACCACGUAAUUGAAGAAAUGUGAAAUGCAGCAUUUGCAUAGCAGAAGAAGGCUGUAUAUGUGUCAGGUCUGCAAGCAUUCUACACAACUUUGCCCCAUCUUUCCAGUUUGUAGUUGCCUUCAAUACAAUUAUUGAGUAUCUUGUGACCAUCUGAUCUCUAUAUUUGCUCAUCCUCUUGGAACUAAGUUGCAGGGAACAUUAUAUUUUAAAGAUCCAGUUAUUUGCGACUGAAAGGACACUGAUUA